UGGCGAACGGGUGAGUAACACGUGGGAAACCUGCCCAUAAGAGGGGGAUAACUGUCGGAAACGACCGCUAAUCCCGCAUACGUCUUUCUUUCGCAUGAAGGAAAGAUCAAAGGAGGCUUACGCUUUCGCUUAUGGAUGGUCCCGCGGCGUAUUAGCUAGUUGGUGAGGUAAAGGCUCACCAAGGCGAUGAUACGUAGCCGACCUGAGAGGGUGAUCGGCCACACUGGGACUGAGACACGGCCCAGACUCCUACGGGAGGCAGCAGUAGGGAAUCUUCCACAAUGGGUGCAAACCUGAUGGAGCAAUGCCGCGUGAGUGAAGAAGGUCUUCGGAUCGUAAAGCUCUGUUGUGAGAGAAGAACAAGGAGAGUAGUAACUGGCUCUCCCUUGACGGUAUCUCACCAGAAAGUCACGGCUAACUACGUGCCAGCAGCCGCGGUAAUACGUAGGUGACAAGCGUUGUCCGGAUUUAUUGGGCGUAAAGCGAGCGCAGGCGGUCUGUUCAGUCUGAUGUGAAAGCCCACGGCUCAACCGUGGAGGGUCAUUGGAAACUAGCAGACU
rnacentral:rRNA from 1 species